rnacentral:rRNA from 1 species
UACGAAGGGGGCUAGCGUUGCUCGGAAUUACUGGGCGUAAAGGGCGCGUAGGCGGCACUGUUAGUCAGGCGUGAAAGUCCUGGGCUCAACCUGGGAACUGCGCUUGAUACGGCAGAGCUAGAGGAUGGAAGGGGCUACUGGAAUUCUCGGUGUAGCGGUGAAAUGCGUAGAUAUCGAGAGGAACACCUGCGGCGAAAGGCGGGUAGCUGGGCCGACACUGACGCUGAUGCGCGAAAGCCAGGGGAGCGAACGGG